GGGGGCAUAGUGUAACCCGGCAUCAUUGUGGGCUCCAGACCCGCCGAUCUGGGUUCAAAUCCCAGUGCCCCCA
rnacentral:tRNA from 2 species